UACGUAGGGGGCGAGCGUUACCCGGAUUUACUGGGCGUAAAGCGCGUGUAGGCGGCUGGUCAAGCGUGGUGUGAAAUCUCCGGGCUCAACCCGGAAACUGCAUUGCGAACUGACCUAGCUGGAGUGCAGGAGAGGGCAGCGGAAUUCCCGGUGUAGCGGUGAAAUGCGUAGAUAUCGGGAAGAACACCAGUGGCGAAGGCGGGUCUCUGGGCCGAUACUGACACUGAGGAGCGAAAGCGUGGGGAGCGAACAGG
rnacentral:rRNA from 1 species